rnacentral:lncRNA from 1 species
UGUGUACUUUGAAAUAAGUCUCAAGAUGAAUCUCAUGUGCACCGAAGUUUGAGGAUUAUUGUUUUAUCCCUUUUCUCCUUAGCUCGGACCCCUCUUGGUAAUAGAACAACGCUAUAAGCACAGUCUCAGAUUUGUGUGAUGUUUUCUAAUUCACAAGGCUUUUUUCACACAUUGGUCUAAUUUAAUACUAACGUGAUGGGGCUGAUUUAACAACAGCCCUCUGAUUUGGAUCCCUUUCCCAUUCACUUUUCAGAUGAGGAGACAGGAAUGAGAGUCUUUGGAUCACAUGACAAGUUCCCGGCAAAGCCUGUGUUCAUCCCAAGUUUUGUGAUUCCAGAGCUGGAAGCGAAGGACUCCAAGAUGGAAAAAAACACACAAUGGAAGGAGUCCAACCUACACCAGAUGUUCGUGACAGUGGGUAUGAAUAUUGUUCUCAAAGUGCUGUAA